AGAGUUUGAUCCUGGCUCAGAUUGAACGCUGGCGGCAGGCCUAACACAUGCAAGUCGAACGGUAGCACAGAGGAGCUUGCUCCUUGGGUGACGAGUGGCGGACGGGUGAGUAAUGUCUGGGAAACUGCCCGAUGGAGGGGGAUAACUACUGGAAACGGUAGCUAAUACCGCAUAACGUCGCAAGACCAAAGAGGGGGACCUUCGGGCCUCUUGCCAUCGGAUGUACCCAGAUGGGAUUAGCUAGUAGGUGGGGUAACGGCUCACCUAGGCGACGAUCCCUAGCUGGUCUGAGAGGAUGACCAGCCACACUGGAACUGAGACACGGUCCAGACUCCUACGGGAGGCGGCAGUGGGGAAUAUUGCACAAUGGGCGCAAGCCUGAUGCAGCCAUGCCGCGUGUAUGAAGAAGGCCUUCGGGUUGUAAAGUACUUUCAGCGAGGAGGAAGGCGUUGUGGUUAAUAACCACAGCGAUUGACGUUACUCGCAGAAGAAGCACCGGCUAACUCCGUGCCAGCAGCCGCGGUAAUACGGAGGGUGCAAGCGUUAAUCGGAAUUACUGGGCGUAAAGCGCACGCAGGCGGUCUGUCAAGUCGGAUGUGAAAUCCCCGGGCUCAACCUGGGAACUGCAUCCGAAACUGGCAGGCUAGAGUCUUGUAGAGGGGGGUAGAAUUCCAGGUGUAGCGGCGAAAUGCGUAGAGAUCUGGAGGAAUACCGGUGGCGAAGGCGGCCCCCUGGACAAAGACUGACGCUCAG
rnacentral:rRNA from 1 species